GAUGAACGCUGACAGAAUGCUUAACACAUGCAAGUCAACUUGAACUUCGGUUUGGGUGGCGGACGGGUGAGUCACGCGUAAAGAACUUGCCUCACAGAUAGGGACAACAUUUGGAAACGAAUGCUAAUACCUGAUAUUAUGAUUAUAUGGCAUCGUAUAAUUAUGAAAGCUAUAUGCGCUGUGAGAGAGCUUUGCGUCCCAUUAGCUAGUUGGAGAGGUAACGGCUCACCAAGGCGAUGACGGGUAGCCGGCCUGAGAGGGUGAUCGGCCACAAGGGGACUGAGACACGGCCCUUACUCCUACGGGAGGCAGCAGUGGGGAAUAUUGGACAAUGGACCAAGAGUCUGAUCCAGCAAUUCUGUGUGCACGAUGAAGUUUUUCGGAAUGUAAAGUGCUUUCAGUUGGGAAGAAAAAAAUGACGGUACCAACAGAAGAAGUGACGGCUAAAUACGUG
rnacentral:rRNA from 1 species